rnacentral:lncRNA from 1 species
GCUCUGGUACACACCAAGCAAAGAACUUCCUUGGAUGGUUGAUAGAGUUAAUGUAUUCAAAGGAAAACCUGUGUAGAGAACGGAGUACAGAACUGAUGUCCUGUCAUUAUGAUGUCUUACUUUCUUUGGAUUUCAAGUUAAUCACAGCUGAGUUCAGGUUUACAAGGAGAAAGAGAUGCUCAGUAUCUCAAAGGAUGUGCCAACCAAUUCAGUCUGUGUAUUUCUAAAUCAGGAAAAACUUGUGAUGGUACCAGAGCAGCUAGAGACUAUCCAAGUUAAAGACAAAAUGAACAGUAGACAAGAAGAAUCCUGGUGUUCAGUUUAUCUGCCUACAAGAAAACCAGUAAUUUCUGCAACUCACAGCUCUGAUUUUUCUCCUGAUACACACAACUCUGCUUUCUCCACAUUGCCUUCAUAUUUUAGUCUUCCAGAAAGUCCGGAAGCCCUGUGUUUAGAAUUAAUAUCUUUCCUUGGGAAUAAAUCAUGUUUCACAUGUAAGUACUACACUGACAUGCAUUUGAUUACCAGAUGUUCAUAUUUUGAAUAUUGUAUUUUUGUAAUGACAUCUCCAAGAAACAGUAUCCUAGUUACAACUGUAAUGUAGAGGUACUCUGUGAAUAUUUUAUGACACUGCUCAUGGAAGAUCCCCCUAUAUGUCUUCUAUAUCUCAGUUUCAUGGUGAAUCAAUUGUGCAAUUGUUGAACAAGUUUUUUCUAGUCAUUAUAAUUAAAUUUACUAGUACUAAGCCUCAGGUCUCAUUGCUACAGUGUAAAUAAUUAUACACAAUUUUUCUUCUUGUGAGAAUACCUGUUAAAAAUACAAACUCAACUUCAAGAGAUUUUUUUUUACUACUGUUUUUAGUUUUAUUUUACAUGUAUGCAAUUUCAGUAGAAAUGUGGAAAGGUAUAAUUUUGCAAGACUAAAAUAUUCUAGUGGGAAAAUGUUGUAUUUGCAUUUUUCCUAUCAUGCAUAUGUGUGUUAAGAUAACAUUCGGAUUUACCAUAUUAAUAUAAUAUGAG